rnacentral:rRNA from 1 species
UCCCUUAGUAGCGGCGAGCGAACAGGGAAGAGCCCAGCGCCGAAUUCCGCGUCUCAAAGGGCGUUUGGAACAUGUGGCGUUUAGGAGGAAUCUCUCCGAGGGCAGACGGUGUCGCAAGUCCCCCUGAACGGGGCUGUGAUCCAGAGCGGGUGCGAGGCCCAUAGCUGGUACCGUCUCCUUUGGGUGUCCCCUCCUUGGAGUCGGGUUGCUUGGGAGUGCAGCCCUAAUUGGGUGGUAAACUCCACCUAAGGCUAAAUACGUCCGUGAGACCGAUAGCAAACAAGUACCGUGAGGGAAAGUUGCAAAGAACUUUGAAGAGAGAGUUCAAGAGUACGUGAAACCGCUCAGAGGCAAACGGGUGGGCCCACGAAAGCCGAAGGCGGGGGGAUUCAGUCGAGAGGACGGUGGGGCAGGACUGGCUGGUUGGACGGACCGUGCCAGGCCGGGUCAGUUCCCGAGAUCUGCCGCCUUUCGACGCAUUUCCCCCUGCUUAGUAGGACGCCGCAACCGGUUGGCGCUGCAGCCAUAAGGGAGAGUAAAUGGAAGGUAGCCAGUGAGUUCUUCUUCGGAGGCGCGAGCUGGUCCUAAGCCGACUCUCCUGGUGCUUGUGGCCCGACCGUGGUCGUGAGUCCCUUAACGGGAUGUCGCCGAGCCCUCUGACUGGAGCGGGAGAAGUGGCAGGCUGCUUUCCGCGGAAAAAAUCGAUCGCUUCACGCGUGCAGUGGGCGAUCUCCGGAGGUAGCUGCUGGUGCGUUUUUCUCCUGCGCUGGGCACAGGCAGUUGGCGGCGAGUAGGUCGGUCACCCACCCGACCCGUCUUGAAACACGGACCAAGGAGUCUAACAUGUGCGCGAGUCAUUGGGUCUUGAACAAGCCCAAAGGCGCAAUGAAAGUGAAGACCAGCACUGAAGCUGGUGGAGUUGGGAAACUGUGUCUCUGAAGAUGCAGUUGCACCAACGGCCCGUCCCGUCCGCAUCGUCGGUGGGGCGGAGCGAGAGCGUACACGUUGGGACCCGAAAGAUGGUGAACUAUGCCUGGGCAGGACGAAGCCAGAGGAAACUCUGGUGGAGGUCCG